rnacentral:rRNA from 1 species
AAGUUUGGCGGCCAUAGCGAGUUGGUCCCACGCCUUCCCAUCCCGAACAGGACCGUGAAACGACUCAGCGCCGAUGAUAGUGUGGUUCUUCCAUGCGAAAGUAGGUCACUGCCAAACAC